rnacentral:rRNA from 1 species
UACGUAGGGUGCGAGCGUUGUCCGGAAUUAUUGGGCGUAAAGAGCUCGUAGGCGGUCUGUCGCGUCGAAUGUGAAAACCCGGGGCUCAACUCCGGGCUUGCAUUCGAUACGGGCAGGCUAGAGUUCGGUAGGGGAGUCUGGAAUUCCUGGUGUAGCGGUGAAAUGCGCAGAUAUCAGGAGGAACACCGGUGGCGAAGGCGGGACUCUGGGCCGAUACUGACGCUGAGGAGCGAAAGCGUGGGGAGUGAACAGG